AGAAUGAACGCUGGCGGCGCGCCUAAUACAUGCAAGUCGAGCGAGAAGACGUAGCAAUACGUUUGUAAAGCGGCGAACGGGUGAGGAAUACAUGGGUAACCUACCCUUGAGUGGGGAAUAACUAGCCGAAAGGUUAGCUAAUACCGCGUACGCUCCUUGGACUUCGGUUCAGGGAGGAAAGCGCUACCGUGGGUAGCGCGCUCUUGGAUGGGCUCAUGUCCUAUCAGCUUGUUGGUGAGGUAACGGCUCACCAAGGCUUCGACGGGUAGCUGGUCUGAGAGGACGAUCAGCCACACUGGCACUGCGACACGGGCCAGACUCCUACGGGAGGCAGCAGUAAGAUAUUGCGCAAUGGGCGAAAGCCUGACGCAGCGACGCCGCGGUGGGGGAGUGAAGGUCUUCGGAUUGUAAACCCCUUUCGGGAGGAAGAUGGAAUGGGUAACCAUCCGGACGUACCGUCCAGAAGCAGCCACGGCUAACUCGCGCCAGCAGCCGCGUAAUC
rnacentral:rRNA from 1 species